rnacentral:misc_RNA from 1 species
UCUCCGUAGGUGAACCUGCGGAGGGAUCAUUACUGAGUGAGGGCUCCGGCCCGACCUCCAACCCCAUGUGAACCGAAACCUGUUGCUUCGGGGGCGACCCUGCCUUCGUGCGAGGCGCCCCCGAAGGUCUCCCAACACUGCAUCUUUGCGUCGGAGUUUAAAACAAAUGAAACAAAACUUUCAACAACGGAUCUCUUGGUUCUGGCAUCGAUGAAGAACGCAGC